UACACUCCUACGGGAGGCAGCAGUGGGGAAUAUUGGACAAUGGGCGCAAGCCUGAUCCAGCCAUGCCGCGUGAGUGAUGAAGGCCCUAGGGUUGUAAAGCUCUUUCACCGGUGAAGAUAAUGACGGUAACCGGAGAAGAAGCCCCGGCUAACUUCGUGCCAGCAGCCGCGGUAAUACGAAGGGGGCUAGCGUUGUUCGGAUUUACUGGGCGUAAAGCGCACGUAGGCGGACUAUUAAGUCAGGGGUGAAAUCCCGGGGCUCAACCCCGGAACUGCCUUUGAUACUGGUAGUCUUGAGUUCGAGAGAGGUGAGUGGAAUUCCGAGUGUAGAGGUGAAAUUCGUAGAUAUUCGGAGGAAAACCAGUGGCGAAGGCGGCUCACUGGCUCGAUACUGACGCUGAGGUGCGAAAGCGUGGGGGGCAAACAGGAUUAGAUACCCUUGUAGUCCCAUG
rnacentral:rRNA from 1 species